ACCAUGGUUGUUUUUGUUUUGUUUUGUUUUUCUUUUGCAGAGCCAGACCUGGCUGCUGGUCAGGGCUCCUUAUGCUCUAUUCAGGAUCACACAUUGCAGAGGAUUUGCCUGUUGAGCAAAUGAGAAGAGAAGAAAAUCAUGACGUGUCUUACACAAGCUGUGUCUAUUUAAUAGGGUUUUCUGUGCCAGGGAAUCAGGGAAUCUACACUUCUCCUGGUCAAUCUCUAUCAGUUCUUCCUCAAGCUCAUGGCAAUGUCCACAACCGAUAGGAAUGGGUGAGUUUGAAUGUGUAUAUGUAUGAAUGUAUGUAUGUCUACAUAUGUGUGUCAGAGAGAGCAAAAAAUGACAGCGGAAAGGAAGGAGGGGAA
rnacentral:lncRNA from 11 species